rnacentral:lncRNA from 1 species
AUGAGGCCUCGGUCCAGGCUGUCCCGUGCCAAUCGGGUGACUGAUCACCUUGGAGUCGCCUUUGCAGGUGCCGGAGCCCCCAGGAGACUGGCGGCCGCCGUAGGGACCGCGGGCCUCUGUCAGCGGCGGGGGUCUCGGCGCAGGGCUGAGACCACUGGGGUUGGUCUCUGGGGGCCCCUCACCGCCCCUCCGCCAGACGCUCCGGGGGGGGCUGCGGCGGCGGCGGCGGCUCUGCCCACCCCCAGAGUGCCGGCAACCCAGGCUCCGGCGAGAAGCAAGUGUCUUCCCCACGCCGGUCGCCAGGGGGGCCGCGGGAGCAGCUUCCAGAUGCGCCGCGGCGCCGGGAAGAAGGACGGGCUGGGGGCUGCGAGGGGCGCACGGCCGGCGCCCGCAGCCCCAGCCGCGAGCGGGAGAAGGGACCGCGGGGAACGCCCGGGCGGCCCUAGCGCGCGGGGAGCUGUCCGUUCAGCACUGGCGCCGGCCUCGCCCGCCGAGAAGGGAGGCACAGCCGGGGCUCCGGCGAGACAGACAGCGCGGGCGGCCGCGGGCUGGGCGGCCACCGCCUCCCAGGCGCCCGGGAAGCCGCCCCCCGCGCCGCCGCAGAGCGGGUGGGGAGAGGAACUCACCGUGCUCUGGUCGCCGACAAGAGGAGCCCCGGACGCCGGCUCUCGCCCUCCCCGAGGCUGCAAAGUUGCGGGCUCGGCCCCACGGGCUCUCAGCCUCCUCACGCUUCGCUGGGGGACCGGGCAGGUAGCGGGGGUGUCGGGAGGAGGGAGCGGGCAGCUGCCGUCCUCCCACUUGGGCGCCGGCGAGUGGGGGCCAGGAGGCGGCGGGGACGGCAGCUGGGCAUCCCCCCGCCACCCCGCCCUUCCCAGAGCCCCGCCAACCCUCCCUUCCCUCCUGGGGGCGGCGCUCUGGCCACCCCGCUCAGCUUCGUGGACUUGCUCCCCUCCCCAACCUUCCCCCACCUCGUUCCUCUGGAGCGGGCUGGGGCUCCCCGCCUGA